CAUGACCUGAGCCAAAAUCAAGAGUCGGACGCUUAAACAACUGAGCCACCAGCUUUUCCAGAGGUUUGACUACAAGAACUACUACACAGGACUAUGUAGAAGGUAAGGAGGCACUGUCUUUGAUGGGCUCAAAGGAGGAAGUGUCCUCUUCUCUUUCUGUGGCUACCAUUGCCACAGCUGAGACUCUGACAGGAGCCCAGUGGUAGCUCACGCUCCUGUAGCAGGCGAGCACCGCUUGUGGCUUUCCUUGGUUCUUGAACACACCUCUCGCUGAAGUUCUCCAAACCCUCACAGAGCCAAAGCCAAAGCCCCCCUUGUUUAUGUCUGGGAAUCCCCACAGGUAUCUCCUGUGUUCAGAGGUGAGUCCUGUCAAUAGCCACUUGGUGCCCUCUGUUCUCUUUUUCCUCCCCCAACUUGUCCUCACACCCUAACCCCUUCACUAUGUCCAGAGUCUGUUCUUCAUCCAGUCACAACUGUGGCUUCCCCUGAAAACUUGUCUCCGCCAGGUGGCCGUCAACACAGUGUUCCCAGAAGUUCUUUGGAGCUAAAGGCACGCUAUAAGUUGUUCAGUCUGUGAGAAGGACACUGUCCCUCAGGGUCCUCCUCUGCACAUGCCUCUGGAGCUGACAAGAAGGUCCAAGUCACACGACCAUGUGCCAGCCCAGGUACCCCUCAGCUAAGACUGUACUACUGGGCAUGCUCCUCUGCCUGCUCCUUUCUUCCCGUACAACACAAUUUGUUGACGUCACUGUACAUGGGGGCUUUGUGUAGUGCCCAGUGUGCAACCGAUGCUUAAUAAAUAUUGAUAGUUUUAAGUGGAUGAUUAAUUCUCUCUCCGUAGUUCCUCAUGCAAAUUCUGGCAGGUCUGGCCACCAAGUCACCAGACGUGUUGGAGCCACGUCAGUGAAGACAACGAAAGCUCUCAACGGGACACCCUUCCAUUAACAAGGAGGAUGGAUUCUACAAAGACUGAUGUUAUUACAAAUUGGAGAGGAGGCUGCUGUGCUCCUUCCUCUCCCUGCAUACCUGUGUGAGAUAUGGCGUUCCCUGCCUCUGUCCCCUGCAGGCCUGUAGCCGGUAGCUCCUAGGAGGCUGCCUCCUCUCCUGAGGCACUUCACUUACUGAUUCUGAAGCCCCGUGAAAUUCAGGCCCAGGCCUGGCUUCCUGGCUCCCAGGUGAUGUGGUCCUGUGGGGCUUCUCAGGGCUGCCCCAGCCACCUCCUUGCUGUAGAGGCCCCUGACCUGGCACCAAGGAGUUGGGACUUCUUCCAGAGACACCCUAUGUUUGCCAAGGAAUCUCUAAUCUUAGGGGAUAUGUGAAUCAAGACACCAGGGAGGGGAGACUACACUAAGUACUGUAAAAUUAAUUAUUGGAUUUAAUUUAAUCAUAACCCCUUUGUGAGAUAAAACAUUUGCAGAUGAAGGAGCUGAGGCUGAGGUAAGCGCGUUAAUAAGUUAGGUAGCUAAGAAGUAACAGAGUUAAUAUGUGGUACAGACUGGAUUAAAAUUCAUAUCUGGCUGCCUCCACAUCUGACCAGAGUCUUUUACCAAGUGUAGACAUUUGCGUGAAGGGGUGAUGGGCUCUAUCUCCUGAGAGGGCACGUUUGUGAGGACGACUGCACUCUGCCUAAGCCACCGGUAGGUGACUAGGUGCUUAACUCAGGGAAAUGAGGUACACGCUCAUUUCCAUUACACCUAUGGAGGCUGUUCAACAGGUUCCUUUAUAGAUGGGUGAAGACUAACUCCCACCGAAAUGCUCAGCAGGUCCCUGCUGUGGGCAGCACCAGGACGUGGCACUUCACUGUCUCUACUUGACAGCAAGAGACUCAACCUGAGAGUGGGCUCUGUGAAUGGUGCUGACAGAGAAUGGGCUGCCUCUGCCAAGGGAGGCCCUGCCAACGAGAACCACCACCACGGCCUACCCGGGAAUCACCCGCCAACGACAGUUGCCCAGGCUGAGAACCAAUUCCUCUCUAGGGGCCACAGGGCAGCCGUGCGUGAGCAUCACCCCUGGGAGACAGUUCAAGGCCACCUUUGGGAGCCCAGAUAACGUGUAGCCGGGGGAGACCUGGCUCCCUUCACCAUUGCCAGCCUGAGUCACAUUGGUGAGGGUGGAGUUGGUUGAUCGUUCAGGAAACUCCUCACCGAGAAUGAGAAAGAAAUUCCCAAAUGAAAAACAGGCAGGGUUAGAGGCACCGACACUGAGGUUUGGGGAGCCUUCUGCCGAGAAUUUCAGUUCUGACUGGAUUCCUCAGCUGGGGAGCACCUGGAAAGAGGGGUUACCUAUGUGCUAUCAUUGGCCAUUUGCUUUGGGACAUCUGGCCAGCAGUUUCUUCCAGAAAGCUCUCAUUUAAACUUUGGGGGUCAUCAUCAUGGUGCAAUGACUCCCUCCCCAACUCCCUUCGAGCUGCUCUUACCUUUCUGGCACCACCAUCUUUCUGAUAUCUAUUUUUGAGGUGUAUCCCAAUUCCCUCCUGAAAUUUCUAGAUCUUUCUCUGAAGCUCUCGCCUUGCCCUUUAUUUUCAAGUACUUUUCUGGGAGUUCUAUUUACAUGACUUUGUGUCAGGGUCCCCAGACUCCUCUCAGUCACCUGGGUCUGCCAACGCAUGCGGGCCAUCCUGUUAUCCCUGUUUGGGUCUGGUCUUGUCGCUCCCUCCAUGUUCCCGCCAUGUCCCCGCUGCCCAAACACUUCACUCUUCACUCUCACACAGAAACACCCUCAGCAAUGUUGGCAUAUAAUAAGCUACCUUUUUUCCAGGGCUUGAGAAAUUCUCUAGGAAAAACUUAGUCAUGUGUGGAGGCUUCUUAAACCCUAUCAUUCUGCUGAGUUUCCAGGUAAUUACUGCUAACGGCACUGCUUGUGGCCCAAGAGCAGCCUCAGAUUCCCUUCGUCAAGCAGGCCAAGAACAUUCCCAUGGCACUAGGCAGAGUUUCCGAGGGUGGGAGGUCACUGCCAAUCCUGUCCUAGAUGAAAUGUGCCACAAAGUGCUGGUUGUCCCACGGGCUUGGUGUGGAGCCUGGGUGACAUAGUGUGCCGAUGCUUUAAUGUAUAUUAACAAAUACAGCACAAUGCCUGGCCUCCCUUCCAUCUGCAUUAUGUGCCUUUGAUGCUAAGUAUGUUUGAAUUCCUCUCAAGUCGUUGUUGACAUGCUCACGUGCUUCCACUCCCUUGUGGUCAGGUGGCCCUAUAGAAAUAAUUCUUACGAAUUGGAUAAAUCUUUGCAAAGACUUUUUGCUUUAUGGAGAGAGACUAUUUUUCUUAACAAAUGUCAUUUUUAAAGUUUAUGGGCACCAGAGUAUUCAAGUUUCUGAAGUUUUCUUUUCCUAAUUUGUUUUUCUUUUUCUUACACAAAAAGAUUGCUGGAAAUAUGUACUGAGUUCUCAGUAAGGGCAACAUUCCCCUAUAUUCUCAGAUGAAUACGCUACAAAUUGAAUUACAUUUUUUCCAGUAAAAUUAUUUCAGUGAUUUUUUUAACUAAAAUUCUUUUCUUUUUUAAAAGAUUUUAUUUAUUUAUUUGAGAGAGAGAGAGAGAGAACAGAGGGA